UACUACGGCCAAGCCACCCUGAACAAGCCCGAUCUCAUCUGAUCUCAGAAGCUAAGUAGGGUUGGGCCUGGUUAGUACUUGGAUGGGAGACCACCGAGGAAGACCAAGUACUGUAGGCG
rfam:Pteropus alecto contig45212, whole genome shotgun sequence.